CAUUAAAUGAAUUAUUGAACAGGAUAAAAUAAAAUAAUCUUCAAAGUUCAGAAACAAGAACUGAUUAUUGAUUAAACACAAAUAUUGUUAUCUGAGAACAUAAUAUUAAAAAAGAUGAAGAUAAGAACUAUUAGCCAAAAGGUGUUUGGCAGGUAGAAUAUAGAGGUUGAGGAGUUGAAGUUUUGACUCUGAAGAAGCAGGAGAGAGAAGUUCAACUCAUAGAGAGAGAUGAUUAGGAUGAGAUUGCUGAACUUUCCUUUUUUUUUCUUCUUUUUUUUAAAAAGUAAAGAAGCUAUCAUAAAAGAAGACUGUGCUUGUGUCACCAGUUUUUUUAUGGAUAUAGGCAAUAUAUUGCAACAACAUAACCAGAAACCAGACUGCAGAAUCUGCAUAAAGAAGAAACCAAUAAGAUUGAUUGUUGUUGCUAGGCCAGCUGAACCAACUACAAACAUUCUCUAUAGUUUGUUAACUUAAGAAAAAAACUACUGCUAUCAAUGCUCUCUAUGAUUAAUAUAAAAUUUGUUGUAAAAAAUCUCUUUUUAUGGGAUUUAACAGUAUCAAAUAAAUACAUAUUUUAAGUUGUGUCAUCUCAGUCAUUGACAUAUGUCACCUGAUGUUCUCCCAUCCUUAUCUUCAGAACCUGCAUACAUUAUCUAUUGUUUCAAACCAGCAGGCAGACAGCUAGAGGUGAUAUGCCUCUGAAACAUGUCUGGUGUCAGAGCUGACAAUGUUAGUCUCGUGACAUUAAGUUCUUUAAGGCCAGAUAUCCUAUAAAGCUCUUCCUUGACCAUUCGGAACAACAAGUGAGAUCAUAGUCAGUCUCUCUAGGAUCUCCAUGUCAAAUUUUUUUUAUAUUUGUUAUAUUUGUAAUAUGAUAUGAUAAAAAAAAUAAAAAAAAAU
rnacentral:lncRNA from 1 species